GAGAUAGAUGUGCUCGGCACAGUGCAGAUGCUGCAUGCUGUCGUCAGCUCGUGUCGUGAGAUGUUGGUUAAGUCCCGUAAGUAGCCGCACCCUUGUCCUUAUUUGCCAGCACGUAAUGGUGGAAUGUGAAGGAGACUGCCGGUGACAAACCGGAGGAAGGUGGGGACGACGUCAAGUCAUCAUGGCCCUUAUGACCAGGGCUACACACGUGCUACAAUGGGGCGUACAGAGGGUUGCUAAGCCGCGAGGUGGAGCCAAUCCCAGAAAACGUUUCGUAGUCCGGAUCGAAGUCUGCAACUCGACUUCGUGAAGUCGGAAUCGCUAGUAAUCGCGAAUCAGCAUGUCGCGGUGAAUACGUUCCCGGGCCUU
rnacentral:rRNA from 1 species